GCGAAACAUCCUGUCGGAGCAUGUGGCCAGCACAAGGAGCCUAGGCACUGACUUCUACAGCUGCAGAGUUUUAAUUGACCCCUUCAUUUGAAGGCUUUUCCAACUCGAAGUACAUUUUGUUGUCUAUGAGCUGAGUGCCAUCAGCAGGAUGAUUUGCUGAGUGUGGAACAAGAAUACUACUAGCUGAAAGGAUCUUGAGUGUGUGUUGUACCCAGAUCAGAGUGAGAAGUGAUGAACUGCACCUUGCAGUUUGUAACCUGCUAAAGCCAAAGCAAACCCCAAGUGUCCUCUUCCUCCAAGGAGUUCCACAGGGCAGAGGAGCCCCAAAAGAGGAGCAUUUGACUGGUGCAUGGUGGAGAAAGAGUGUACAUGUCUGUGCCUACU